UCAUGCCCCUGGGAAUGGGAGAUCAGAAAUUCCUGGCUGGUUUCCAUGACCCCAAGGACUGAACUUUCUUUGCUUGAGGAGUCUUCCCAACCCCUGCAACAUCUACAACUGCCUGAUUACAAUUCACUGUUUCCGUAUGGUCUGGAUGAACUCAGGGUUUCACUGGAGAUGUGGAGAUGGAAGUGAGGUCUGGUCUGGACUGCUGGAGCCCCCAGUUUUGAUCCCACCUUUCCUGCAAUGCUGCUGGAAUUUUCUGUGAAGGCUCCAUCCCACCAGAUCCCAGCAUUUGACUGUCGAAAGUGGAGGCAACACUGAGCUCCCCCAUGAAGUGUGGAGACCUCUCAUGACAGUCACUAGAGAUGAAACAUUUUGUGAGCUGAAUCCUAUCAAUUCAGUGGCUGAGACAUUCCUGUAAGUACCAAACAUUAAGCAGCUAAAAAAAGAAACAGUCAGGGGUUAAAUGUCAAGUUUACACUAUUGAAAUGCAGGGCAGAUGCUUCCUAGUCUAUUUACUGGCAUGUUACUGGUAGGUUCUUGUCAGCAGUUCUGUCAACCCAGGCUUUCUAGAUGUGUGAGGAAAAACCCCAAUCCCUGGGCUCCAGAAGUCACCUUUCCCCCACCAUGUGCUUCCCAAGGUAUAGGAACAGCAAUUGCCUCUACUUGGCAAAUCAAACUUAUUCAGAUAAAACACAAGCCCUUCAGACAACCCUUUCUGCUCCCCAACAAGCAAAAGGAAAUGCUGUAAAUAAGUGGAAAGGCUCAAUGCUGCCACUAUUUCCUGACUCCCAGCACCAAAUGAGAGCACAGGGGUCUGUGAUCAAGGAGAAUAUUCCUGAUGAGAAACUAUCUGCAACCUUUUGGAAAUUUCUUAUCAAAAGAGCUCCAUUUGCACUCCCACCUCAACCUCUGACCUGGUUUCUCCCAACAAUGCUAUUCUUUGCUCCCUCUUCCCUUCUUGCUGCUAUUUGGCAAUAGAAAUGUCAGGGAAUCAGCCAGUAUAUACUUGGAUGUCAGUGUAGAGAGGUAUGGCCAGGCUCAGGGCGUCUGCCUGGCACACCACAGCACACACCUUUACAGGAAGCAGGAGAACAUGAGGCAGAGGAGAAGAAACCAGAAAGAAACAAAAAGCUAAAACUGAAAAAAGUGCAGAACAGAUUCACAAGAUGAAAUGGAAAAUAAAAAAAAAAAUGAGGAGGAGAGGAAGAGUGCAACCAUCUUCAAAACAGCACAGGUAGAAGUUGGGGAGCAUAAAAAGAGACAACACAUUUGAAUGUAUUGGAACAAUAAAUUUUAUUCUAUUAAUCCCAUGAUCUCUGUCAGCAGUGCUGCCCUGUUACCCCCACCCGCCCAAGCAGAGUCAGCUUCAAUUACUUUACCUCAGGAACAUUCAUUACAGGAAGAUGCCCUAAUUGAAUUAGUGCCUUUAGAAAGCCCCUUCAGGAAACAUCUACGUGCUCCUUAUUCAGUUAGCAGGGAGGGAUGGAGGGGGGAUGCCAGCUGAGAAGGGGAUUUUAUGCAAACACAGGACUGAUGGACUGACAGGGACAUGUCCUGCCUGUAACAGAUAUUGGUAUAGUCUCUCAAUUGCUUUUGUACACAAGAACCAUUGUAUUUUUGAGCUGAAAAAAUUCUAAUCUUGGAUGGAAAGCACUGGGAUGAACAACAGGGCCUGGAGGUACCCACAGAGGACACCCCCUUUUAAUCUACAUAAGAGACAAAGGUUGGUGAGCCUUUGGAAGGUGUUUUAACUCAGGGUUUUUGUAUGAACAACCAGCUAAGUCACUUGGAGCAACAACAAAGAUAAUACCAGUCCAAAAUGUUCCCCCUGUAGUUUGGGUUGGGAAAAAGUGAGAUUUCCAUGUGCAAUACACAAAAGUUUUAGAUGCUGCAAAAUCUACCAGUCAGCUAUUGGAACAGCCUCUGACACUGGUGCAAGUCUUCAGCACAUGUCCUAAAGUGCUGAACAGACUUCUCAGAGGCCAUAGCCACAGACUAAUACCUCUUUCAGGCACAUAGUGUCUCACAGAAAUGUCCCAUUCUCCUGCUUUAGUUGCCCCAGGGAAAUGGGAUGCAACGUGCUGCCAACAGCUGCAAGCAAACAAGAUUGUCCACACGGCAGCUGUAAGGCAAUGGGACUGAGGAGAGAUAAAUUUCUGUCUCUGACAAUAGCUAAUGGGCUCCAGGCAGACUGGCAGCUGCAAAGCACCCAGUUCCCUGCUCUGGUUCUGCUGACCAGGCACCUCUGGGACUGUACUUUGAGCUGGUGAAGAAAAGAGGCAGAACAAGUCUGCUUCCAUCUAUUUUUAUACUGCAGAUCCAUCUGCUUCUCUCCACAGCUGGCAAGGCCUGGAGCUCAGUUUAGAUCCUCCCAACAAAAGCCUCUUUAUGAGGCAUGGGAAUCCCCCAGCACUAUCAACACCAUUUGGACUGGAUUGCCCAGGCAUGGGCUAUUUUGGGCACCACAGGUGGUUUCUCCAUCUCACUGAGCACAGGGAUGGAGCCAGCAGAUGCCUCACCACAGUACUGCUGUGCCAUUCCACCAGGGGUAAACUGAGCAGCGUGAAGGCUCUGAUAACCCCAUUGGGUCUGGGGGGAUGGGACACAAAGGGAAAAGUUCAAGGAAUGGGUUUCACAGGUGAGACAGCAGAAUUUCCAUCAUCACUGUGACUGAAAACUGCUUUUUGAGACAGAAAAACAGAGCAGAGCUGAUCAGAGUCUCCUCUCCAUCUAGGCAGUAACCCCUUCCUUUGUGCUGAGGUUCAACAUCUGCUUGCUCCUGUUGGAAAGAGCUCCAAGCUCUGGGUUUCCCCCUGACACACAAGCAGCAGAAAGCUCUCCCAACCUCUCCUUUCUCUGUUAUCUUAUUGCAUGGAUGCUAUUUCCUGUGUUUAUUUUUCUUGUCUGCUUGGCUGGCCUGGAGGGUCUCACCUGCUGGAAAACUGCCAUUACUUCUCUAUCUGCUACACUGGCCAAAGGUUAGCAAAAAAAGAGUUUUAGGUCACUUGUAGUUUUCCUGGGAUGCCUGACUACCAGCAGAGGCCAAAGGCCACAGAUGCUGAGGGAGAGCAGGUUCCUGUGUGUCCUUACCUGGUGACAUCAGCAGAUGAAUCUCUUUAGGAAAAAGAACAGGGACACAUUUCACAGCACUGGGAUUCAUCUGGCAUGGAGAGAACACAGCCACCUGGAAAACACUGAAUUCAUGGCUCUGUCCUCAAGGACCUGCCUUUGGAGACCGUGAACAUGUCUGUGCAGCACACAGAGCACAGCUCUUCCCAGACCUGACUGACACACAGGCUUCAGUGUUCAGUGUCAGCCACAUGUCACUGACCCCAGGACACAGCCUCAUGCUUUUGAUGGGAAGAAGGCAUUAAACUCUCCCAGGGAGGAUUGUAUGUCCCACACAGCGUUUCCAAAUCAAAGGCUGAUGGAAAGAUCCUCCUGCAAGGGAAUCAGAGACUUCUUUUAGCAUAGAGAUCACGUCCUCUUCUCCAGCCACACAGGGAAAAUCUACAAGAACACAGUUGCUGCAGUCCUUGAAAGUGCAGGUAGUUUUGAACCAUGAAAAGGCACAGGCAGCGCCUGCAUUUUGGAUAAACUUCUUGUGCAUUAGGUCUGGUGUAUGGCAGGAAAGGAGGGAUCAUCUGCAAAUAUAGAAUUUAGGAUGGGAGAGAAACUGCUUGGGAAGCAAGGGCUCAGAGAAUGCAAGCUAGAAGUGUUUCUGAUUAAAAGACAUAGAUUCCUAUGCAUUGGCAUAUUCCAUAAGGAAUAGGGGAUCUUGGGUUUAAUUUUAUUGCAGAUGAAUUGCUAGGUUAUUUCAGCAGACUGGAAGGCCUCAGUGCAAGUUAGGGAUAUUAUUGUGUAUUUCCUCUGGAAGGAAACCAAAAUGCUGUUUCUCAUGACUUCAGAAAGGACACAGCUGUAGAACAAGCAGCUGAGUCUCAGCUUUACUUGUGGCAUUGAGUUACCGAUGGUGGGAGAAAAGACUAUUUCUGUUUUUCCAGUGCAACCUUUAGCAUUUUGAUCCUUCUGGAAUUAGAGGAGGAUCUUGAGGAGGGUCUGAGAUUUUUUUUUGUCUCCACCCUAUUCUGUCAGUGCUUUUGGCAUGGAUAUAAAGAAAGGCAGGAAACACUUGGAAUACUGGACUGCUCCCAAAUGGCAGGCCUCAGAAAUGAGGCAGUCAGCUGUCCUUUAAGGUGCUGGGUGCCAUGUAGCCCAGCACCCCUGUACUGGUGCUGGGUGCUCUCCUCUUGAGACUCUGCCUUUCAAUCAGUCACAAUCCUUGUGAAUUAACUGCAGCCGUCCCCCAGUGCCUCUCUGGAUUGGGAAUGCAAACAUUAGUCCUCUUCUCCCCCAUGUCUUUUGGAUCUGCAGAAUAACUUCACAGUCGGAUGUGUUACCAGCACAGAACAGCUUCAAGUCAGCAGCACGAUCUUCAGUCGCCUGCAAGGAGCCUUGUGUAUCACAGGGCUGGAUCAGGAAACCUGUGAUUGCUCACAAUCACAUUAACAGAGAAGACAGGAUGUCAGGGAAUCACUCGGCAAGUCUCAGAGCUACCAUUCCUGUCACCUGUGAAACCAGUCAAAUUCUCUGGAUGAUGGAAUGGUUUAAUAUCACAGGAUCCAGUGUGUGUGGCAGGGCUGCUCAAGACAUUAACACAGGAAGCAAUAUUGUUCAAUGUCGACUUAACUGCCUGGCAGGUUAUACAGUAAUGUGGAAGGAUGGGAGCCCGCUUGGGCCCAGGACUCACAGCCCUGCAAACAUUUCUCCUUGGAAGGACUCUUUUUUUCUAUAGCUCAGUGCAAAAAGCUUGUAUGAGCAUGCAGUCAAAAUGGCCUUCACCCAGCCUGGGUCAGCUUGGGCAGAGGUGCUGGGCCCAGAACACCUGUCCACAGGAGGCUUCAGCAUCUGCCACUGCUCAGCCCUUCAGCACCUCCAAAAUAGGAACUUGGCAAACAAAGCCAACAGAGUGCAUUGCUAAGCAGAACAUUCUGCCGAGUCCCAACACCAGGACUGCGUGUUACAGGGCACUUGCCAAUUCCUGAGUCAACUUUAUU